UACGAAGGGGGCUAGCGUUGUUCGGAAUUACUGGGCGUAAAGCGUGCGCAGGCGGCUUCUCAAGUCAGGGGUGAAAGCCCAGAGCUUAACUCUGGAAUUGCCUUUGAGACUGAGAGGCUUGAGUACGGGAGAGGUGAGUGGAAUUCCCAGUGUAGAGGUGAAAUUCGUAGAUAUUCGCAAGAACACCAGUGGCGAAGGCGGCUCACUGGCCCGGUACUGACGGCUGAGGUGCGAAAGCGUGGGGAGCAAACAGG
rnacentral:rRNA from 1 species